AUAUUAAUAAGCGGAGGAAAAGAAACUAACAAGGAUUCCCCUAGUAAUGGCGAAUGAAGCGGGAAUAGCUCAAAUUUAAAAUCUCUUCGGAGAGUUGUAGUUUGUAGAGGUGCUUUCGUUGGCGGCCCAGGUAAAAGUCCCUUGGAAUAGGGCAUCAUAGAGGGUGAGAAUCCCGUCUUUGACCUGGUUACCGUCACGAUGUGAUGCGCUUUCUAAAAGUCGGGUUGUUUGGGAUUGCAGCCCAAAGUGGGUGGUAUAUUCCAUCUAAAGCUAAAUAUUGGCGAGAGACCGAUAGCGCACAAGUA
rnacentral:rRNA from 1 species